GCGGGAGUAGCUCAGUUGGCUUAGAGCAUCUGCUUGCCAUGCAGAAUGUCGCGGGUUCGAGUCCCGUCUCCCGCUC
rnacentral:tRNA from 1 species